GCUGUCCUAAAUUUUCCUGGAGAAUGACGUUAUAAUGCAUCUAAUUUACAUAAAAGCAGAUCCUCCACCACGUUUCUAUGCCCCUUACACGACCAGCUAGACUUGACAAUACCAGAGUGGGGAUCACACAGUGAGCUGACAAAGUUGGACGGCUCUGUCAUUUGCCGCUAGCGGGCUCAUGGAACGUCGGUGGACCGGUACAGUCUUGCUGGUGUUGGCUCUGUCCAAUACUCCUCAGCAAUCCUCCAUAUGCAGCAGAUCACAAUGUUAUCAUGGUCCAAGGGGAAUCCAGUCUAACCUCGUCUGUCAGCCUAUCCAUUACUACCACGAACAGGAAGGGGCUCAGCGCAGAACCCGGAUGCAGUCCCACCGCCACCUGAAAUUCUUCUGACACACCAACGGCACAUCUCACUGCUAUUCUGCUGCCCUCAUACAUGUCCUGUACUAUUCUAACAUAUUAACAACUAGUUCCCAAUAUAGCACCUAUAUGUUGAGUAGACAAGUUAUGAAUUCUAAACAUUGUUUUCACUAUUUUCCACAUACUGUUAUAUAUUUCAGGUGUAGUACCUUUCAUUGAAAAAAGAUCACAUUGAAGAGAGACUGCCAAGUACCAGCUUUUAGAUAUACGGGGGAGAAAAAAGUCUUGAGAACGGCAGGCAGCGCUGUCAACUGUAAACCGACAGUGAUCCAUGUGCUGCGACCUCACUCGACACAAAGAAGCGCCUCUGCGGGGUUUGCCUGGAAGGAGAAUCUUCUUCUUGACCUGGUCCCCUCCUAAAUAGAGCUGACUCUUUUGCAUGAGGAACACAAAGAAUUCUGAGCAGCCAGAACAGAGAACUGUGCACUACUUUCCAACGUUGCAAUGAGUGAUUACUAUUCCAUUUGUCCUGUUCGCCCUCAUUUAUUCCCUUCUGCAAAAUGCAGUUCGAAAGUUAAGCCUUGUCUCACAAAAUAUGUUACCAUUCUCCAUGGUAACAAACAAUGCAACUCGUAAUAUUAUAUAUUGUUUAUACUACCCAGAAAUAAUAUUUACUGUCUUAUCGUCUGUGCAUUUAAAACCAUACUAUUAUCAUAGUGUUUAUGUAUAUCGUACAUUUUUGCUUGCAGCACAUGCAAGUUGAACCACCUGUCAACUAAAUUCAAACACACUGAUAUCAACAAUUUAUAAGCAUUUUAUGUCCCUAAUUUAGUUAUUGUAUCACAUGUUUCUAUUCAGAUUAGCCUUUACAUACAGCUCCUCUUCUGUCCUGUUUUAUGAGCUCAAAUUGACCUUUUAACUUGCAAGAGCUGAGGUUGGGUACCUUUUUUUCUUUUUUUUUGUCUCACUG